rnacentral:rRNA from 1 species
UACAGAGGUCCCAAGCGUUGUUCGGAUUCACUGGGCGUAAAGGGUGCGCAGGGGGGUUUGCAAGUUCGAUGUGAAAGCCCCGGGCUUAACCCGGGAAUGGCAUUGGAUACUGCAGAUCUGGAGGAUCGGAGGGGGGACUGGAAUUCUUGGUGUAGCAGUGAAAUGCGUAGAUAUCAAGUGGAACACCAGUGGCGAAGGCGAGUCCCUGGACAAUACCUGACACUGAGGCACGAAAGCUAGGGGAGCAAACAGG